rnacentral:lncRNA from 1 species
CAUCUUUCAGGUUACAACUUCAAUUAUGUACGUAGCUACUAAACCAGACUGCUCCUCAAAACUAUACUCUAUAUUUAGUCGCACGUUGUUUAUCCUGUCAGGCAUGUGCCUCCCUUGUUUCAUUAUGCUUAUCUUAUCGAAUGUUUACCCUGUCAGGCAGGCAUGGGUAGGGUGUUUUUCAUGUGCAAAUAUAAUCCUGCUGUGCACUUGCGUGUCCUGGAGACUAGAAAGGCUAGCAAUCAGCACAUGAAGGUAGGCCCUUAACUUAAGCGUCAUAAUAAUUUGUCCAUUAAGUAGUACAUCAUUAGUGGCUUGCAGUUCAAAAACAUCAUUACCGGCUUAAUGCUUGCUACCUUCUUACUGCAUGCAGGAGACCAUGGAUCGGAUUUCAGCAACUUGAUCAGCCCAAACUAUGAAUAUAUACAAGGCGUCCAUUUGAUUUGAGACGCAACAAACAGGAAGA